AUUGAACGCUGGCGGCAGGCCUAACACAUGCAAGUCGAACGGUAGCACAGAGAGCUUGCUCUCGGGUGACGAGUGGCGGACGGGUGAGUAACGUCUGGGAAACUGCCCGAUGGAGGGGGAUAACUACUGGAAACGGUAGCUAAUACCGCAUAACGUCGCAAGACCAAAGUGGGGGACCUUCGGGCCUCACACCAUCGGAUGUGCCCAGAUGGGAUUAGCUAGUUGGUGGGGUAAUGGCUCACCUAGGCGACGAUCCCUAGCUGGUCUGAGAGGAUGACCAGCCACACUGGAACUGAGACACGGUCCAGACUCCUACGGGAGGCAGCAGUGGGGAAUAUUGCACAAUGGGCGCAAGCCUGAUGCAGCCAUGCCGCGUGUAUGAAGAAGGCCUUCGGGUUGUAAAGUACUUUCAGCGGGGAGGAAGGCGGUGGAGUUAAUAACUUCACCGAUUGACGUUACCCGCAGAAGAAGCACCGGCUAACUCCGUGCCAGCCGCCGCGGUAAAAC
rnacentral:rRNA from 1 species